GGCCGCACCCAUGGCAUAUGGAAGUUCCCAGGUUAGGGGCAGAAUGGGAACUGCAGCUGUGGGCUUACCCCACAGCCACAGUGACUUGGGAUCCGAGUCGCAUCUGCAACCUACACCACAGCUCACAACACCACCAGAUCCUUAACCCACUGAGAGAGGCCAGGGAUUGAACCCACAUCCUCAUGUGGAUACUAGUUGGAUUCGUUUCCCCUGCGUCACAACGCAGACUCCUAUUGUAUGUAAUUUACACCCCAGUCCAGAUGAUAAAAGAAAAUCUCCUCUGGGAGGCUGUGGCAUGACUCCUUGCCCUGCCCAGCUCCUCUGCCCCCGCCCCCGCCCCCGGGGCUGGAUUCUGGGCUCUCCAGGGCGAACACUGUCAUUACAGUACCUCCAUUGGAAUGGGCACACCCUGAAGGCAGGGACUGCGAUUAAGUCCCCUCUGCCCUCUCAGCACUCUGUGUUCAAAAAUACCAAUGAAUGAAUGGACCAGAGUGCCAUCACCUGCUAAUUCUAGCUGCUUCUUGAAGAUGACUUGCUUUGAAGGUACCAACCACCCCCACGCAGUCUAUAUGCAUCUGGGAGCUCCCUGGGGGUGGGGGCUGGGGAUAUUUGGUCAUCUUUGCCUUGGCCGUGCUACCAAGCCUUGUGUAAGGUCUACACUGCCCACCAUGGCCUAGAGCCCCUUCCCCCACAAUCCAUGGGCAAAUCCCUCUGCCUGUUCCUUUUCCUCUUCCCUCCCUUUCCCUCUGGACCAGUGCCCAUCUGGCCUUGGGUGGCCAGGGGACUUCUGGGCUGUGCCCAUGAGGUUUGCAUCUAGGAGAAAGCUUUAGCACCUCCAGGAACUGGUGAGAAAUAGAUUCCGGGCUCCUUCUCAGAGCUCCUGAGUCAGACUCUCCCCAGCCCAUGUGGGAGAGUUAAAAUUGUACAUGCUCAGAGGUUUCUGACACUCACUGGUUAAAAACCAUAAGACCAGCCCCCUACCAGGAGGGGGCUCGCCCUCCUCCCCUGGCUAGGGGUCCCCACUGGGUGCAGGGUGGGUCCUGAGCCCUGACUGAUCUAAGGGGAGUAUGAGGCUAGGGCUGGCAUGGGGGCACUGACACUGGGCAGAGGCAGUUAGAGGGGCCGGGCUUGGAUCCCCCCACCUGAGGAGGGCUCUCUUUGUGUCACUGCCACCCCUCAUCCUCCCCAUGCAAGCAAGGCUGUGGGAGGGGGGCAGGCGUGGGGCACAAAGAUUUCUGGCACCCCCCCGAUGCCAGACCGCUGUCUGGGAAGGCAAACCCUGGUGGCAAGCAAGGUCCAGAGCUUCUCCCAAGGAGGGAGAGGCCACCGGGGCUUAGGACUGGACAGGAAAUAGCAAAGGGAGAUUCAAUUUGGAAAAAAUGCUAGGAACACACAUCUGCAGUGAGAGGAGAGAAACCAGACCAUGUCAAGUCCUGGACUGAAGCCUCCCCACCCCAUGACCCCAGGGAAGGGGCCCUCCACAUGCCACCCUGCCCUGGCUGGCAGCCCCCACCCUAGGCCCUGAGGUUCUGGGGUCAGAUCAAGCAAGGGACAAGUCAGCGAGAGCAGAGACUUCAUUUGUGAAAAGCUGAAGAUCAAAAGGUUUUAGCAGCUGUAUUUUACAUCAGGAAGGGGAGAUGAAGCCAGACCGGAAAGAAGCUUCCAGAAAGAGUCCAAAGGAGCCUGAGACUUGACCAUAGAAGGGAACUUGGAUUCAGACGUGGAAAGUCCAGGGUCUACUUGGGGAAUAGAAGGAACCAGCAUUUUUUGAGCAUGGAUUAUCUUUAAGGAUUUUAUAGGUGUUAACCCAGGUUGGGUGUUAGGCAGCCCCACUGUAAAGAUGGGGAAAUGGAAGUGAGUCAGGAACCUGCUUGAUGAUCUAGCCCAGGGUAGAGCUGGGGUUUGAACCCUGGUGGUCUGGCUCCAACAUCUAAGCCCUUACCACUGUGCCACACCACCUCUAUAACCAAGACUGUGGAGGAAGCAAACAGACUGAGGUCACGGAGAGUCGCUCCCGCAAGGGCCUCUUAGCUCCAAUGCAAUUCACAGUUUACAGAGCACUUCCUCAGCCUUAGUGUCAUCUGACCCUGACCAUGACCCCCUGAGGGGGAUGAGCGGUUGUGAAUGGCCCCUCUCAUUGGCCGACAGAGUCAGGACUGACCCAGAACCUCUGAACUCCUUAGCCCUGGCCCCGGCUCACCAGGAAAGGAGCUGGGGCUGAGCUGGGCCUCCAGGCCUAAGCAGAAGGCAGAGCCAGGAAGCCCAGGGCUGGUCAGUCUCCAUCCCUUACCAGACCAGCUCCCAGGAUGCCUGCACUGGUAGGAGCCCGGACCCAGGCAAUGGGUGCUUAAGAUUCCAAGGAGGGUCAUCAGUGGCUCCAAGGUCAAAGGCAGGAAUAGAACCCAGGUUUCCUGCCUUCCAGCCAGUCUCCGGCUGUGAGGGAGCCCUGCUUCCUCCCAGAGGAACCCAGGACUUAAGGCAGGCGUUGGAGCCGGAUGGUGCGGCCAGAGGGCAGAGCUGGGUCAGAGAGGAAGGAGUCAAGCAGAGAGGGGGAUUUUCCAGACCCUGAAGGUUCCUGGUAGGGGAAAGGGGAGGGGCGGCUGACUCACACAUGCCAAGGACUGUUCCAGAAUGCUGGGAACAAUUGCUUGGCGCGGAGGUAUAGGUAGGGUGGCCCCCCAGUGGUGAGGCACUCCCUGAACACAGGCAGCGUGAGGCUGGUGGAGGGAACCAGAGAGGCAGGUAUCCGACAGUGGGAUUCCCUGAAGCUGGGUUGUAUCUGGGCCCUCCUGGUGGGGACAAGGACACAUGGAGCUCCAGGUGCAAAUUGGGCAAAGACCCUUGGGGACAAGGGACAGAGGCUGGACUCUCCUCUCCUGGCCUGAGUGAGGAUGCAGACGGAAGGUUCCGUGUACAGGUUAAGAUGUGUUUCUGGUGCUGCUAAAAGCAAAACCGUAGGAAGGUGGCGGCAAGGUGAACAGAUGACAAUGAGGACGUCAUUGUUCACUUUCUCCAUGUCAGGCUCUGUCCUAAACACUGCCUGGACCACCUCAGUUAAUUCUCACAGUAAUGCAGGAGGGCUGGCGCCACAGGGCCACUAUCCCUCAUCUGCAAAAAGGGAAGUCCAGAAAGCUCUGAAAACCGAGAGGGGUUUGGUUUUGUUUUUGAAUAAGUUUAUAGCAAGUUCAUCCAGCGCCAAGUCCUGACCUAAAGUGACAUGAAGUUAUUAGUAGCUUAUUCACUCCACUUGGGGGGAGUAGUCAUACGUUUUGCUGCCGCAAUAUUCAUGUGUUUGAUUUCGAGGUGUUGCCCCAGACUCUACUGUGGAUGUCGCAUCACAGCUGGCACACGCUCUAUGUCACCUUUCUUAAGUUUGGAAACUGCUGAAUUCCAAGACACGUCUGAUCCCAAGGCUCUCAGUUAAGGGACUGUGGAUUUAUACUGUGAUUUCCAUUUUGCAGAGGAGGAAACCAAGGCUCGGAGAGGGUCAUUUGGGGCAUUUGUGUAAACGGGAAUAAGACUCUGAGACCCUCAGCAUGGCACCCUGUGUACAGUAAGUGCUCGGUAAGCACUUAGCAUUAGUACCAGGCAGGGGCCCCAGGGCAGAAGUGAAGGGAUGAGAGGUGAGGAGGUGAUGCGUGUGGGCUCAGGCCUAGGGUCGCCUUCAGGUCUGGGAUGAAGGGUCUGGCUCUGAUGCUUAGGCCCUGGGCAGGUGGGCUGGGCGGGGCCCUGGCUGGGGGUGAAGCUCGGUUUCAAGGCUCAAGUUGUCUGCCUGCUCUGAAGUUGGCUCUGCAAAGCCUGGGGGACUCCAGGCUUCUCCAGAGACAUUCUUCACAUGUCUUGGGCAGCCAGCCCACCACCCCCACUCCCCAUGGUCCAGGCUGGGGACUGAGCCCCCCACCACCCCCACAGCUGGCCAGGAGGGUCUGAGCACCGCAGUUCCCAAGGUGGCUGCAGCUGCCCAGGGCAAGGCUCCAGGCAUCUGGGCUGGAGUGAGCUCACUCCAUCCAAAUCCAGAGACUACGUGGGGGUGGGGGCGAGCGAGCCGCUGCCUGCCCACCUGCUUUCUGCCAGCACCAGCUCUGCCUCAGUGCCCUGCCCCCAUCCUCGGCAGAGGAACCAGCAGAUGCUGUGAUCCAAGCCCCACCCCCAAAUCUCCAGGGAGGGACCUGACCCUCC
ensembl:lncRNA